rnacentral:rRNA from 1 species
AGGGAAUCUUCCGCAAUGGACGCAAGUCUGACGGAGCAACGCCGCGUGAGUGAAGAAGGUUUUCGAAUCGUAAAACUCUGUUGUUAGAGAAGAACAAGUGCUAGAGUAACUGUUAGCGCCUUGACGGUAUCUAACCAGAAAGCCACGGCUAACUGCGUGCCAGCAGCCGCGGUAAUACGUAGGUGGCAAGCGUUGUCCGGAUUUAUUGGGCGUAAAGCGAGCGCAGGCGGUUCCUUAAGUCUGAUGUGAAAGCCCCCGGCUCAACCGGGGAGGGUCAUUGGAAACUGGGGAACUUGAGUGCAGAAGAGGAGAGUGGAAUUCCAUGUGUAGCGGUGAAAUGCGUAGAUAUAUGGAGGAACACCAGUGGCGAAGGCGACUCUCUGGUCUGUAACUGACGCUGAGGCUCGAAAGCGUGGGUAGCAAACAGGAUUAGAUACCCUGGUAGUCCACGCCGUAAACGAUGAGUGCUAAGUGUUGGAGGGUUUCCGCCCUUCAGUGCUGCAGUUAACGCAUUAAGCACUCCGCCUGGGGAGUACGACCGCAAGGUUG